CCAAACUUGGUCAUUUAGAGGAAGUAAAAGUCGUAACAAGGUUUCCGUAGGUGAACCUGCGGAAGGAUCAUUAUCGAAUCUUUGAAACCCGAGAGGGGUCUGUGCUGGCGCGGAGACGUUGCAUGUGCACGACCUUUUCGGUGCUCAAAAUCCAAUAUAUAUAUAACACCCCUGUGCACUAUAAGAAGUCGAAAGUCAGUAGUCCCUGUAAUCGAACGGGUUUCGAAUAGAGACUCCAUUAGAGAAUAAGGAGGCGAAAUCUUUUGGCUCUAAUAUUACAAACACCCUUUUAAUUGUAAUGUGAAUGUAAUGCUCCAAGUCGAGCGAUUAAUUGAAAUACAACUUUCAACAACGGAUCUCUUGGCUCUCGCAUCGAUGAAGAACGCAGC
rnacentral:misc_RNA from 1 species